rnacentral:rRNA from 1 species
CCUACGGGAGGCAGCAGUAGGGAAUAUUGCUCAAUGGGGGAAACCCUGAAGCAGCAACGCCGCGUGGAGGAUGAAGGUUUUCGGAUUGUAAAACCCUUUUGUUAGAGAAGAUAAUGACGGUAUCUAACGAAUAAGCACCGGCUAACUCCGUGCCAGCAGCCGCGGUAAUACGGAGGGUGCAAGCGUUACUCGGAAUCACUGGGCGUAAAGAGCGCGUAGGCGGGAUAGCAAGCCAGAUGUGAAAUCCUAGGGCUUAACCAUAGAACUGCAUUGGAAACUGUUAGGCUAGAGUAUGGGAGAGGUAGGUGGAAUUCUUGGUGUAGCGGUAAAAUCCGUAGAGAUCAAGAGGAAUACUCAUUGCGAAGGCGACCUGCUGGAACGUAACUGACGCUGAUGCGCGAAGGCGUGGGGAGCAAACAGGAUUAGAUACCCCAGUAGUC